rnacentral:rRNA from 1 species
AACCUGUGAAACCCAAAAGAUCGAAUGAGGAGAUUCAUCGUCAGCUUAUUCAGUAUUAAUGCAGGCUAUGAUGUGAUAAUAGAAUCCUUGUGGUCACUAGAUUAUACUUGCUUGUAUUAUUUUUGCUGGGUAUGUCGGCGUGCACUUCUCCUCUAGUAGAACGUCGCAACCCGUUGGAUGUUUAUCUAUGGCUUGAAUGGUAGCCUUUGAUAUUUUUUAUAUUGAAGACCUUCGAUGUCCUGAUAAACUGUUUGACGGUAUACAUAUGGUAUUGAGCCGCAAUUAUUUGCGUUAGACUUACCGCANGUAUGGCUUUAUUNUAGNAGUGCGGAUCUAAUGCCGNCGCUGGACAAANNCUGCUGUUAGCUGGNAAUGUCUUUAACUGGCUUAUUUACCGGUUAGCGAUGCUACUGCUUUGGGUACUUACAGGACCCGUCUUGAAACACGGACCAAA